GCCAGUGUGGCAUAGUGGUCUGAAUGUUGGACUACAACUCUGAGACCAGGGUUCAAUUCUCAGCUCAGCCA